UGCCGGGAACUCUAAAUGGGACUGCCGGUGACAAACCGGAGGAGGGUGGGGAUGACGUCAAGUCCUCAUGGCCUUUAUGCCCAGGGCUACACACGUGCUACAAUGGCCGGUACAAAGAGUCGCAAGACCGCGAGGUGGAGCCAAUCUCAUAAAACCGGUCUCAGUUCGGAUUGGAGUCUGCAACUCGACUCCAUGAAGUUGGAAUCGCUAGUAAUCGUGGAUCAGCAUGCCACGGUGAAUACGUUCCCGGGCCUUGUACACACCGCCCGUCACACCAAGAAAGCCGAUUGUACCAAGAAGUCAUGAUGCCAACCUUCGGGAGGCUAGUGCCUAAGGUAUGGUUGGUGAUCGGGGUGAAGUCGUAACAAGGU
rnacentral:rRNA from 1 species